rnacentral:rRNA from 1 species
UACGGAGGGUGCAAGCGUUAUCCGGAUUUACUGGGUUUAAAGGGUGUGUAGGCGGGCCUUUAAGUCAGUGGUGAAAUCUCCAGGCUCAACCUGGAAACUGCCAUUGAUACUAUUGGUCUUGAAUUCUGUUGAGGUGGGCGGAAUAAGUCAUGUAGCGGUGAAAUGCAUAGAUAUGACUUAGAACACCAAUUGCGAAGGCAGCUCGCUAAACAGAACAUUGACGCUGAGGCACGAAAGCGAUGGGGAUCAA